UGAAACGGUCCCUUGUGCUGCCAGAAUCUCUCUGCCUUUCAGUCAUGGCCUCUUCCUCCUGGCUUUCAAGAUGUUCAGAGGCAUUGCUAAGAAAGAGAGAGCAGAGCUCUUCCUAGGCCAUGGCAGAGUUCACCUUUCCAGGUGUAUGCCAGAGCAUGAAGCAUGGUCAACAAGCACGGGGUAGCAGCAGCUGGAAACAGGGGAAGCUUCCACAGAGCCCCCCGCUGGAGUCCCAGGGUGAUGAGCUGAAGCUGAUUUGGGCAGCAUGAAACCCGGUGGUUUUCCGGGAUGUGUGCCGUAUAGGGCUCAGGGCUGUCACUGGGGUUGCUUUCACAGGACGCCCCCCAGCCCAGCUCAGGACCCACGGAACAGCACAAGGCAACAGAGACGUUGACAGCAGCGAUGGUGAUGGAGAUGUUGAGAGUGGAGGAGCUCUUGGCUCGCUGCAGCCACCCCAGCAUUCCCGGAGCUCCCUGCUGGCCCCGGAGGAGUCCGAGUGCUCUGUGCUGGAAGAAGAGGAGUCGAGGCUGCUGGAGACAUCAGGGCUCAGUGGCUCUGUGGCAGUGAUGCGCUGCAUCAGCUCUUGCGUUUGGCAGCUGUUUGCAGUGGCUUUGGUCCCCUCUCUUG
rnacentral:lncRNA from 1 species